UUGACUUACCAUGUUGGAGAUAGUUCCAGGGACUUCUAUUAGGCCUAUCCCAUCAUAAUCACCUUCCCUCCACGGGUCUGGUUGCCAAUAUGGUGAUUUUGCCAGGUAGUAAAUAUCUCUCUUUCCUUUUGGAACUAAGGAAAUUACCUUAAAAUGGGUCUGUGGUCUCAUUGGACCCACCAUUAAAUGGACUUGGACCAGAGCUCCAUCUAUCAUUAGCCAUAGUAAGCUCCAACUCUCAUAAUAAGGUGGACUGCAUUGGCAUUUGGGUCUCAGAGCCAGUGUCUGAUGACUCCUGAUGGUCUGGGUAUUUCCCUUUCCCCAGUGCACUGUCACUCCAGGAAAUAGGUUCCUCGGGAAAAGCUUGGUGGAAGAGCCACACUACAUACCUGCUACAUCAGAGAAUAGUUCCUCAAAGGACCCUGAGAUCGCCUUGAAAAAGUCUCCAGGCGUGUGACCUGAUUAGGUCUGGGAACUGGGUAUACAUCCUGAGUGAGUCUCAGCUGGGCUCAGAGAGGAGCGGGACUGGUAUUUUCACCGUGGGCAGCAACACAGUGGAAGCCCCCAUGUGCCUAUCACUAGGAGCCAUGAUGUAAUGCUGGGGCAGCUACACGCUGGAAUGAUGCUUGUUGAGAGUGAGGCACAUCCCUGUCACAUGUCCAAGAUACACGGCCACAGGGAAGGAACCUGGUCCCCCAGCACGAAGUGGAGCUGGCUGAGAGGGAGGGCGCAGGGCCACACCCUCCAGUGAAGCUCCUCCCCCCAGGCCUCCUCCUGCUGCCGCUGCUACUCACAUGGCAGAAGAUCAUGGCUUGAGCAAUGGUGAUGGCCCCGUAGAUAUUACACAAGGCCUGGAACUUCUCAUCUCUGCUAUUGCACAGGACGUAAUACUGCUUGA